CUUUAUCCUAAGCGAGGCUUUAUUUCUCUCUCUAACUUCUGGAAUUUAUAGAAUUCGUAUCGCUUCGGAUCCAUUCAUUCUUGGCAAUGCGGCGCACCAAUGUGGUCAUGGGCAGAAUCCUGGUAUUGAGGAAACCUAUAGGGGAUGUUUGUAUGGAUCUUUGUUUUAAACUUUUAGAUUUGCUGCAGGAUGGUGACAGUUAUUUAAUAAACAGAUCAUGAUGUGCCUGGCAUUGCAUCUCUUGUGUUGGAUAAAUAAUUUUGUCAAUUUUUUUCUUUUUUUUUUCUUUCUUAUUGUUGUUAUACAACUUGUUUCCUAAUUUCUGUUGGCUGCUGGCAAUACAUCUUAUGGUACUGCAGGAAAAAGUGUUCUUUAGGAUUUAUGUCCUUUGCAUGCAAAUAUGGUUUCAUAAUGUGAUGGAGUUUGACUCAUUGGAUCUGUUCUAAUUAUGAAUCAUGCUAACAUUGUUGAUAACUUGAUACACAUCUUAUUGUUUCCACACCUUUUUGCCUUCUGGCUUGCCCAGGAUGUUCUACAUAUUGCCAGAUAGAUACUGAAAGCAUUGUUGCAACCUAGGCUGGCAAGCUUACUGAUCGAAAAAAGCGUAUUCUUCAUCUGUAAGACACCAAUACUUGGAAUAUCAAGCUUUUCUUCCUUGAAGCCCAAGUACAUUGAAACAUGCUCUGAAAUGGGACGCUGAUAGCUGUCUCCAACAAAUUUUCUAAGAGAAGUUGAGAAAGUUGACAUUAAUUCACUGGAAAGAAGAGAUGGUGUUGAUGAAUCUGACAAGGUUUCGUCAUUGUUGCAUCCAUUACAAGAAGGAUGCCCAUGUGAAGGAUGAUUUUCAAUGCAAUCAAUAUUGGGACUAAAUACAGAUGACUCUGAAGAACCUUUAAAGCCAGGAUGUGAUAAAGAGGAUAUUUCUUUAUGAGCUGUUUUUGCUUGGGAUGCAUCGAAAAUAGGAGCACCUAAAACAGCAUCAGAACCAUCAAACAUACAAGUAUCUGAACUACCUGCAGCAUUACAACUACUCAAAGGCACUGAAAUAUCUGUUAAAGAACAAUUUUCUUCUCUAACAGCACCUAUGUUAGAGGAUAAAGCUCUCUGAUCUGCGAAGAAUGAAGUUUCAAGGAUCAAACGAUAUGCAGCAAACACUGUGUAUUGCACCACUCGUUUUAUUUUCUUCAGUUCAUCACAAUUAGC